rnacentral:lncRNA from 1 species
UAAAGUUCUUGAGGAAGGGUGAUGAUGAUCUGCCAAACCCAAGUCAGAAGAAUAAGACUGAAAUUCAGGCUAAGUUAGACUGAACUUACCAGAUUACAUGCCCACAGUGCUGUUGGGCUCCCUCUGAGCUGCUGUCUCAUGUGUCCCAACUUGGCAAAGACCCUGUGCCCACACCUCCUGAAAGUUUCUGUCCUGGCUGCCCCAUUGAGCCUGGCCACUGUGUGCAGAGGAAGGUAUUGAAGGGUGAUUGGAGGAGAUCUCUCCUGUUUGCAGGCACUGUGUGAGCCUCAGCCUGGCCCAGCUCUCAGCCACCAUUUUUCGAAAGGAAGGCUUGGAGGCCUGGCCACAGCUUUUGCAGCUGCUUCAGCACAGUACCCACAGCCCCCACAGCCCAGAGAGAGAGAUGGGGCUUUUGCUGCUAAGUGUGGUGGUGACCUCCCGGCCCGAGGCCUUCCAACCCCACCACCGGGAGCUUCUUCGGCUUCUGAAUGA